UUUUUCCUUUUUUUCAAGGAAGAGGAUCUUAAUGAAAGAAAAAAAAACCCUCUGGGAUUUUUUUUCCUCUCCGCUUCCCCCCUCUCCCCCUCCCCUUGAUGUGGCCUCUUGUUUAGCUUGUGGCGUGACCGUGAUGAAGAAAUGUUUCAGGGCGCCUGGCAGAGUGAUCUUUUUAUGUAAUGAGUCAGGAUUUUGCCAACGGAAGGAGCCGGCUUGGAGCGAGGACCGGAGGGCUGUCUCCUUUCAAGAACGGGGACCUGCCCGGCGAGCGGCUGCCUGUGCGCGGGAUCCCCGCUCGCUGCGGGCGCUGAUCCAUUCCCGGUCCCGGCUCUCCGGGGCACCGCCGCGGGCACUGACAAGUGGACAUCCUAGUAAAGCAGCAAAUGGAAUGUAACAAUGAAUGGAACUGAAAGAAUAUAGUCCUCCUCUACGGAGAAAAAAUACUACAGAGCCGACUGAAACUGCAGAACCAGACUGUUUUGAGACAUGACAAUGUACAUGAUGCAGAUCAGUAAUGGGAGCCACACUGAAUUGCUGCUCUACAAUGGCAUCAAGUAAUCGGAAAGGACGACAAAAGAGAAACAUUUCCAAUGCUGGUUUUUUCCUUUGGAUGAAAGGAUGUAGAGUUACAAAAAUGAACUAAAAUUAUAAGGCCAGAGUACAGGCAUGGCAUGAUCCUAAGAAGAAUCUGUUUCUAUCUUCCAUAUGCUGUACAAACACAAAAAUAAUGAUGGAUCUGAGCAAAAAUACUUUCUAUUUAUGAAAAUUAUUAAUAAAACUAUAUUGUAAUAGCAUUAAAAGCAACAAUGAAAAAAAGGAGAAAACUGAUAAAGAGGAAAUGAAGCAGGGGAACAGAAAAACAAAGUGAGAAAUGAAAUCCAAGUUUCUAAUGCAACGAUGUAAUGCCAAGAAACUGCUCCAAAGAAAAUGAGUAACUGCCAGCUUUUCUACCUGUUGCCAAGAAAAUGUUGCUGUGUUCACUGAUCCUGUAAUUAAACUGAGUGUGUUCUGAAACAACUUCUUCUGAAUUGUGCCAUCUUCUGUGAAGGGGGAGAAAGCUUCAUUCCUAUAAUACACCAAUAGAAAGAUGGUUCUUCUCUAAAAAAUUAGGUAGAAGAGCAAGCUUGGUUUAAUCAUGUACACACAUUCUUUAAAGAAAAAAAGUAACAUUUGGAAAGAGAAAUCUUAUUGCCUACAGACCUUUGGAGGGAAGCACAGAACUGUAAUUUGCAUCAUUCAAAAUACUUAUGUGCAGGGCAAAAAGUUUUAAUAGCUAGCUUUUAAUAUCCUACAAAAACAGCAGUCUUGCUGACUUCUGCUGUUUUAUCAACAUUUUAAAAUGUGACUUAUUAAUUGUAUGUCUUAUAGCAAUUUCUUGCUGGGAUUUUUAAUAAAUUUAAGUUAUUGGUAUUACCCAUGCUGGUCAAGGUAUUUGUAUACAAGUAUGUCAAUAAACCAGAUCAUACCAGUAAAAUUCUGUUGCCACAUUUUAUCUUGUUCAGCCCAGUGUUGGUUAACCAAGAUUUCAUAAAGGCUGACUAUUCUCUUCACCUCUACUAUGGUCCUCUGGGAUCUUCUGGUAAAGCUUUAUUGUACUUUGCACAGCUUUUCUGCAUUCCUCAUGCUUUUACACCUGAUGAGUGAAUGAAAUGUUGCCUUUUCUCAGCCGAGUCAUUCUUUGCUCUGUGGCUCGCUGUGCUAGGCAGGACAAUGGCCCUCUCAGACAUCUGUCACACAGAAGCACUGAACAGCUGGGACUGGAAGAGACCCCUGGAGAUUGUGCAGUCCAAUGCCCCUGCUGAAGAAGGUUCACCUAGAGCAGAUUGCUAGGAUCACAUC